GCCUUCUAUAGAAAAAUCUACUCAACAGCGACAUAAUACUGAGCCAAUAUAUCACCUAAAUUAACAUGGAAAAUAUAUGCAUAAAACACCAAAAAAGGAAAUCUUUGAACUGAAGCAAACCGACAGAAGCCGUUGAGGAAGGAUUCGAGAUGUGAGGUGAAGAACCGACAGUGUUGCCAGUAAAGUUUUCACCUGCGCUUUCCGAUUUUAGUAUGAAUUUUUUAAUUUUUUUUU
rnacentral:misc_RNA from 1 species